AAUAAUUCAGAACUGGCAUCUUCCUGAAAGAUUCAAAGCAUGUAACCAUCGACUUUUCCUUAAUUUCUGCCCAGCUUUGAGAAAGGGAACAACCUAUGAAGAGGAAAUUAAUAAUAUUAAACAUAUUACUUCAAAAAUUAAUGCAAUUCUGGCUCAUAAUUCACCAGUUUUGAUUGUUCAAAGAUGGAUACGUGGUUUCCUAGUUAGAAAAAAUUUGAGGUAUGUUUUGUUUUCUUUACUAUUCGAAUAUUGAAAUAAGAAGGUGAAGAAAUAAAUUAUAAGAAGUCAA
rnacentral:sRNA from 1 species